rnacentral:rRNA from 1 species
UACGAAGGUCCCGAGCGUUAUCCGGAUUUAUUGGGUUUAAAGGGUGCGUAGGCGGAUUAUUAAGUCAGCGGUGAAAGCCUUCAGCUUAACUGAAGAAUUGCCAUUGAUACUGAUGAUCUUGAGUAUGAUUGAGGUGGGCGGAAUGUGUCAUGUAGCGGUGAAAUGCUUAGAUAUGACACAGAACACCGAUUGCGAAGGCAGCUCACUAAGCCAUAACUGACGCUGAUGCACGAAAGCGUGGGGAGCAAACAGG